rnacentral:tRNA from 1 species
UAUCGUUUAUUCUGGGAAUAAAUUGUUUUGAAAACAAUUGAGAAGCGUUCGACUCACUUAACGGUAU